GAGUUUGAUCGUGGCUCAGAGCGAACGUUAGCGGCGGGCCUAACACAUGCAAGUCGAGGGGCAGCACAGGUAGCAAUACUGGGUGGCGACCGGCAAACGGGUGCGGAACACGUACGUAACCUUCCUUUAAGUGGGAGAUAGCCCGAAGAAAUUCGGAUUAAUACCCCAUAAGAUCAUAGAGUGGCAUCACUUAGUGAUUAAAGAAUUUCGCUUAAAGAUGGGCGUGCGGCUGAUUAGGUAGUUGGUGAGGUAACGGCUCACCAAGCCAACGAUCAGUAACUGGCGUGAGAGCGCGACCAGUCACACGGGCACUGAGACACGGGCCCGACUCCUACGGGAGGCAGCAGUAAGGAAUAUUGGUCAAUGGACGCAAGUCUGAACCAGCCAUGCCGCGUGAAGGAUGAAGGUCCUCUGGAUUGUAAACUUCUUUUAUAUGGGAAGAACCACUUUUAUCUAAAGGUGUUGACGGUACCAUAGGAAUAAGCACCGGCUAACUCCGUGCCAGCCGCCGCCGUAAG
rnacentral:rRNA from 1 species